CUUCAGGUAAAUGAUCUGGAGUGUGUUUGCAUAUUGAUCAGAUGCUUCAGUGCUCUGAGAGUGUUUAUAGUGCUGUGAGUUUAACACUUCAUCACUGACACACACAACAAUCUUCAUCAACAUGACCUUCAUCAUCAUCUUCAUCUGGACUCUCACAGCGUUUGCUCAAGAGUGUAGAGGACAGAUCACCGUCACUCAGAGUCCCUCAAUGACAGCAGCUCAACCAGGACAAACUGUGAACAUCAACUGUAAAACCAGCAGUAAUGUAGAUCCAGGCUGUUGCUGUAGUGGCAAACAGUGUCUUAGCUGGUACUUACAGAAACCUGGAGAAGCUCCUAAACUCCUGAUUUAUGGAAUAAGCUACCUCCAGUCAGGAACUCCAUCUAGAUUCAGUGGCAGUGGAUCUAACAGUGAUUUCACUCUGACCAUCAGUGGAGUCCAGACUGAAGAUGCUGGACAUUAUUACUGUCAGAGUUACCACUACAUCAACAGUAAAAAUGUGUUCACACAGUGAUAAAAAGUCGUACAAAAACCUCCGUCAGUCAGAGUCACAGUGACUGAACUGAUACUGCAGCUGCUCACACACUUUCACACACUACUGACACACAGAGGACAAACACAGGAACUACACAUGUGCUCAAAACUGACUUAUGAGUGAAAUCAGCUCUAUUAGACUGUGAUCUGUCCUGUGACAGACGGGUUUGACUCUAAUAUGCUCAGAUUCAGAGAAACCAGAGUGUAUAAAUUCAUAUAAAAUCAACAAACAAUAAUGUCACCAUAUGUUGUUGUUUUUAAACAUUAAAGUCAUGGUGUAUCAGUAACAUAAA